GGAGAGAUGCCCGAAUUGGUUAAGGGGACGGAUUGCUAAUCCGUUGUUGCUAACGCGGCUUGUGAGUUCGAACCUCACUCUCUCCGCCA
rnacentral:tRNA from 2 species